rnacentral:rRNA from 1 species
AGCGAACGCUGGCGGCAGGCCUAACACAUGCAAGUCGAGCGGCCGUAGCAAUACGGCAGCGGCAGACGGGAGAGUAACACGUGGGAACGUACCCUUCAGCUCGGAACAACCCAGGGAAACUUGGGCUAAUACCGAAUACGUCCGUAAGGAGAAAGAUUUAUCGCUGAAGGAUCGGCCCGCGUCUGAUUAGCUAGUUGGUGAGGUAACGGCUCACCAAGGCGACGAUCAGUAGCUGGUCUGAGAGGAUGAUCAGCCUCACUGGGACUGAGACACGGCCCAGAAUCCUACGGGAGGCAGCAGUGGGGAAUAUUGGACAAUGGGCGCAAGCCUGAUCCAGCCAUGCCGCGUGGAUGAUGAAGGCCUUAGGGUUGUAAAGUCCUUUUAACGGGGAAGAUAAUGACGGUACCCGUAGAAUAAGCCCCGGCUAACUUCGUGCCAGCAGCCGCGGUAA